ACGUAGGGUGCUAGCGUUGCUCGGAAUUAUUGGGCGUAAAGCGCGUGUAGGUUGUUUUGUAAGUCGGAUGUGAAAGCCCCGGGCUCAACCCGGGAAGUGCAUUCGAAACUACAUGACUAGAGGAGAGUAGAGGAUGGUGGAAUUCAAGGUGUAGAGGUGAAAUUCGUAGAUAUCUUGAGGAAUACCGGCGGCGAAGGCGGCCAUCUGGGCUCUUUCUGACACUGAGACGCGAAAGCGUGGGUAGCAAACAGG
rnacentral:rRNA from 1 species